UACGUAGGGGGCAAGCGUUGUCCGGAUUCAUUGGGCGUAAAGAGCGUGUAGGCGGCCAGGUAGGUCGGUUGUGAAAACUGGAGGCUCAACCUUCAGAGGUCGACCGAAACCAUCUGGCUAGAGUCCGGGAGAGGAGAGUGGAAUUCCUGGUGUAGCGGUGAAAUGCGCAGAUAUCAGGAAGAACACCCGUGGCGAAAGCGGCUCUCUGAAACGGUACUGACGCUGAGACGCGAAAGCGUGGGGAGCGAACAGG
rnacentral:rRNA from 1 species